rnacentral:rRNA from 1 species
AUGGAAAGCUCCUACAGUUCAGCCAUGCCGAUGGAGACCGACAUGAUGUCGCAGUUCCUCGGAGGCGACCACCACUGCUUCGCCUACGAGCAGCAGGACGAGUCCAUGGAGGCAAUGGCGGCCAUGUUCUUGCCUGGCCUCGACACCGACUCCAACUCCUCCUCUAGCUGCCUCAACUACGACGUGUCUCCACAAUGCUGGCCACAACCCCAGCCUCAGCCAGGCCAUAGUUCCAGCGUCACCAGUUUCCUUGAUCCGGCUCACGGCUAUGAGAGCUUUGAGUUCCCAGUGAUGGACCCCUUCUCGCAUGCCGAAUUCCAGUCCCAUUGCACCGACAUCCCCUAUCUCAUCGGCGGCAGUGAGGAUCUGAGUCCUCUAGACAGCAACUGUGCACCAGCCGGAGGUGAAGAAGCAGCAAAUGAUCAUACACCCGUGACUAACAAGAGGAAGUCCAGAGCUGCCACCACGGCAUCAAAGAAGGCCAAAAAGGCUGCCAAAAAGGAUCUCACCAGCAACGACAUCGAAGGCGAUGACACCUAUGUCAUCGAUCCUCAAAGCUCCAGCAGCUGCACCUCAGAAGAUGGGGAUUUGGAUGGCAAUGCCAAGUCGGGCUCGAAGAAGACAGGCACCAGAGCCAGCCGUGGAGCAGCAACUGAUCCUCAGAGCCUCUAUGCAAGGAAAAGGAGAGAGAGGAUCAAUGAAAGAUUGAAAACCCUGCAGAACUUGGUUCCCAAUGGAACAAAGGUUGACAUCAGUACAAUGCUAGAGGAAGCAGUGGAGUAUGUUAAAUUUAUGCAGCUUCAGAUUAAGUUGUUGAGCUCCGACGACAUGUGGAUGUACGCACCCCUCGCUUACAAUGGGAUUAACGUCAGCAGUCUUGAAAUGCACAUCGCAGCUCUGCAAAAAUAA